AAGACAACUCUCAACAACGGAUAUCUUGGCUCUCGCAACGAUGAAGAACGCAGCGAAAUGCGAUACGUAGUGUGAAUUGCAGAAUUCCGUGAAUCAUCAAGUCUUUGAACGCAUAUUGCACUCGAGGCUUCGGCCGAGAGUAUGUCUGGCUCAGCGUC
rnacentral:rRNA from 1 species